UACGAGGGGGGCGAGGCGUUGUUCGGAAUUAUUGGCGUAAAGGGUGCGUAGGCGGUUUGGUAAGUCUUAUGUGAAAUCUACAGGCUCAACUUGUAGUCUGCAUGAGAAACUGCCGGGCUUGAGUAUGGGAGAGGCACGUGGAACUCCUGGUGUAGCGGUGAAAUGCGUAGAUAUCUGGAGGAACACCGGUGGCGAAGGCGGCAUCCUGGACCAAUUCUGACACUGAGGAGCGAAAGCCAGGGGAGCAAACGGG
rnacentral:rRNA from 1 species